CAAGACAUGAAGUCAGGUCAGCAAACCCGCUGAAUUUAAGCAUAUAAGUAAGCGGAGGAUAAGAAACUAAAUAGGAUUCCCUUAGUAAUGGCGAAUGAACAGGGAUCAGCUCAGGAUGGAAAUCGGGGCCCUUGGCCUUGAAUUGUAAUCUGGAGAGGUACCACCAACUGGGGCGCAGAUGUAAGCCUCUUGGAAAAGAGCAUCAGUGAGGGUGAGAGUCCCGCAUGUCAUCUGCAGUCCCCUGUGUACGGUGUGCCUUCUGAGAGUCACGUUCCUCGGGAUUGGAGCGCAAAUUGGGUGGUAAAUUUCAUCUAAAGCUAAUUAUUGGUUCGAGACCGAUAGCAAACAAGUACCAUGAGGGAAAGGUGAAAAGGACUUUGAGAAGAGAGUUAAAAGUGCCUGAAAUUGCUGAAAGGGAAGCGAAUGGAACCAGUGUAGCUUGGCGAGAUUGUCACGUACCAGCAUGAUUGCUUGCUGCUUCAACGCAAGUGUGGCAGUAGGUCUUGACUGUGCCGUCCGUGGUGCUUCUUGCCUUGUGUGUCUGCACCAGUUCACGGCUGAGGAAAACUUCAGGGACAUGGUAGCCCGACUCCGGUUGGGUGAAUGUGCUUGCUGGAACUCAUCUGUGGUCUGGCUGUUGACUAAAUGGUUUCAUCCGACCCGUCUUGAAACACGGACCAAGGAGUCUAACAUAUGUGCAAGUUCACGGGUGGCAAAACCUGCUUGCGAAAUGAAAGUGACUGCUGGGAUUCUUGCACCAGCAACCGACCAAUCAAUUGAGAGAGGUUUGAGUAUGAGCAUAUCUGUUAGGACCCGAAAGAUGG
rnacentral:rRNA from 1 species